GCAUUUUUGGAGAUUUGUUACUUUGAGUAAAUUAGAGUGUUCAAAGCAAACAGAUAUAGCAUUUGUGCGUUUGAAUACUACAGCAUGGAAUAACAAAAUUGAACAAGUCAAAAUUUUUGUUCUUUUAUCUCAUCUUGGCUCAUUCACGAUUAAAAACCUUAGCUUGCGGCCAUUAGUAUUUAGAUAUCAGAGGUUAACAUUUAUAUACGUGUCGUCUGCAUCCUGCUUCCCUGCCACUUUCACUUUCCCUGCGCUGUAUUCAAUAGCCGAGAACGAAAGUUAAGGGAGUGAAGACGAUCAGAUACCGUCGUAAUCUUAACCAUAAACUAUGCCGACUAGGCUUGGAGAAAGAUUAAAAAAAGUAUUG
rnacentral:rRNA from 1 species